rnacentral:rRNA from 1 species
AGACUCGUGUUCAGGAUGAACGCUAGCGGCAGGCUUAACACAUGCAAGUCGAGGGGCAGCAUAAUGGAUAGCAAUAUCUAUGGUGGCGACCGGCGCACGGGUGCGUAACGCGUAUGCAACCUACCUUUAACAGGGGGAUAACACUGAGAAAUUGGUACUAAUACCCCAUAAUAUCAUAGAAGGCAUCUUUUAUGGUUGAAAAUUCCGAUGGUUAGAGAUGGGCAUGCGUUGUAUUAG